AUUGAACGCUGGCGGUAUGCCUAACACAUGCAAGUCGAACGGCAGCACAGUAAGAGCUUGCUCUUACGGGUGGCGAGUGGCGGACGGGUGAGGAAUACAUCGGCAUCUACUUUUUCUUGGGGGAUAACGUAGGGAAACUUACGCUAAUACCGCAUACGACCUACGGGUGAAAGCAGGGGAUCUUGGGACCUUGCGCGAUUGAAUGAGCCGAUGUCGGAUUAGCUAGUUGGCGGGGUAAAGGCCCACCAAGGCGACGAUCCGUAGCUGGUCUGAGAGGAUGAUCAGCCACACUGGAACUGAGACACGGUCCAGACUCCUACGGGAGGCAGCAGUGGGGAAUAUUGGACAAUGGGCGCAAGCCUGAUCCAGCCAUACCGCGUGGGUGAAGAAGGCCUUCGGGUUGUAAAGCCCUUUUGUUGGGAAAGAAAAGCAGCAGGUUAAUACCCCGCUGUUCUGACGGUACCCAAAGAAUAAGCACCGGCUAACUUCGUG
rnacentral:rRNA from 1 species